GCAGGUACUGGAUUCAUAUCAACUCUAGUUCAUAAGAUCAAUCAACAAGGGUAAAAUCUCUCUUUAUAUACUCCAAGCAUGAGAAUGGUAGGUUCAGAAUAUUUUCCACUUCAAGGGAUUUAGAUAUCACAGUACUAGCAAUGGAAUCCCUACUAUAGUUUCUAUUAUUCAUCCCUAAACCUCUGCAUACAACCAUUGACGUAUUACACACCCAAGGAACUGAAACAGUGAAUACAAAACCACCUGAACCUUCUUUCCCACCACCAUAAUUUCCAUUUCCCACAAGAACAUCCUUGUAUGCUCGGCAAACUUUGGGAACUUGCAUACUCAUUGGCAGAAGUUGUUGAUAAAAAUAUGAAGCAGAUGGAUUUGGACUCAAGGCUUCAUAAUCUGCAUGAAGGUUCACCACAACAGUGCCAUGCUCAGGAUGCAGCCGUUUAUUUAGUGCUUGGAGAAAUGGGGAAUCUGCAUCCCAUAACUUGCGUGGGAAGAUGUCAUCACCAUCAUAAGCAUCGAUAAAAAUCAUAUCAUAUAUAUUGCUGCAGUUGUUGAGGACAAACUUCUCAGCAUCUGAUUCAUAGAGAUAAAGCCUCUCAUGGAUGCCUCUCCACAUUAUUUCAUCGAUUAUGUCAGGUUUUGAUAAAGCUCGCUGACCUGAUGAGGACAUAACUGAGAAAGCUGGAAAACCCAUUGCUUGGAUAGAAGCAGAUAUAACAAGAGGAUCAAUUUCUACCACAUCGAUGACAGCACCUGGCCUCUUUCUCAUGUUCCUUCUGCAUUUGUCACCCUGCAUAUGCAUGUACACAGAAAAAUAAGAUAUUACAAAAUGCAUAUGCAAGGCAGUUUAGACAGUGUUCGCUGCAUGAUAAGUACAGAUCAGUGAAGGCAGUCAUUUUGGUUUGCAGCAAUGAACAACUUCCAUCCCUGUUUAAUGAAAAAAAGCUGGGGGCCAGUGCAGCCUUCCUCCCACUAAUUUGCAACAAUAACAUUUGUAUAACACUACUUCAACUCCUGAUUAGCAACAAGUGAAUUUGUGUCCUUUGAUAACGAAAACAAAAAAACACAUACUGUAGGGAAAAGGAUAGUAUCGCACCUUGAAUUUUGCUAGCCAGAAACAAUGGUAAGCUUCCCCCACCAUGACCAAUGCAUAAAAUGCGCAUUUGUUUCUUCCCAUAUACAGCAUCCACAAAGUCAUAAUUACAGGAUGCUAUAGUAGUCAUCCCAACAGACACCAUGCUUUUCAGAUAUGGAACAGCUAAACAAUGUGCCUGCUGCAUUAGGAAUAUAGAAUUAGGUUCUGAUUGUUGGUAAGCUGCCAUCACUUUAGCAGUGCUUUGGCGUGUAUCAUCAUUAAAGCGAAGUGUGCGCCACUGAUAUCCAAGUAUCCGGAAACGUACAUUGUGUUCUUGACCUGGAUGUAUCUGGGCAUAACUUUGCUGAAGCCAUUUCUCAGUUUCUGGCCAGUGAAUCUCAUUCUGCAAAAUUUACAGCAAAACCAUUCAGUAAAUCCUUGUCAAUGGAAAACGUAUACUUCAGAAUAUAAGAGAUUUUGGACACAAGCAACAGCAUCGAUUGAACACAGGUUGAACAUAUUUAAGAAAACAGAAAAAGAAAAGGCCAUGAAUCAAUUAUGAUCCCAUCAAAGUAUGGUCCGAAAAGGAAACUUGGAGAGUAAUUUUGCAUAAAGAUCUUGAACGUGCACUGUAGCCAUUGCAGGCCCAAAGCUUCACUAAGUGUUAUCAAGAUUGCAAAACAUACGCCCUCCCCCCUUAAAAAGAAUGAUACCUACUCCCGUAUCACCAAUUAUCAGUUGCAGGCUCGCAGCAGACAAUAUGAAACUUCUUCAAGGACAAUAUGAAACUUCUUCAAGCACAAUAUGAUGCUUGAUAAUGGGAACAUGGCAAGGUUUUUUAACUACCUGGAGCUUUAGAAAUAAGAUUUGAGGCAGCGAUUUAGGGGAACCCUCCCUAAAGAUGAUCUUGGAUCAAGACCAGUUUUCAUUUAAAGAAUUGUUAUAGAAUUAAUAACCAUAGACGGGUAAAGAUGGCAGAGAGAGACUGACAGGUCUAGAAGAAGGAUAAGCGAGGACUGAGACGACGCCGUUUCCUUUAUCGGAAGUAGAACGUAGAACGGUAUGGCCAUCGGAAUCCGUACCCCACCACUCCGACGAAUAAAGCCAGUCACCCUCGUCCAGAACACGGCGAGUUGCCACCGUACAAAAUCGCCGGAUAUUCCAUCUCAAGUUCAACCCAGCUCCAGGCCACAUAAUCGAUAAUCCAAGACCAAAUAUAAAAUCCUAAAUCCCAAAAUUAAAGAUGCUUUCGCUUUCUUGCCUUCCUGCUAACGGCGGGUCUAUUUUCGAAAAUUGCUACGGUCCCUAAACCCUAAAAACU
rnacentral:misc_RNA from 1 species